CGGGCGGGGUCCUCUGUGGCGCAGGGCUGGAGGGGGAGCGUUGGGAGGGGCGUUGCCGGGGGUUUCCAGGGAAACACUGCAGCAGAUGGCUGGCUUUUCUGAGCCACGGCGACACAUCUGCAACGCUGCUGGUGGGAAGGAUAUUUUUGGAAGAUCUGCUCUCUCAGUCUUUUGGAAGAACAGGCUUGCUCACAGUGCUCCAACAGGACCAUUGUGUCACAUCAAGGCUGCUUUCAGGAACACACAGCCAAAGACAGAGUCAAUGAUAGAUGCCUCAUUCCUGUAUUUGAUAUCCUGAGCCGCAC
rnacentral:lncRNA from 1 species